UUACUCACCUGGCAAGGGAGGCACCGUAACCAAGAAGGUGACUUCCCUGGGUUGGAACUUUCCUAACACUUUGGAUGUGCUAACCCUUCUGGUUGUCCCAGCUGAAGGAAACCUGGCUGUAUAUUUCUGCUAUGGGGAAAGUGUUGUGAAAACAUUGAAAAUAGUGUUUUUCUCA
rnacentral:snRNA from 1 species